UUCUAGAGAUCAUGAUCGUUGGAGAUCGAGCAGUGAAUGCUUCAGAGUUUGGCCUUGAUGUUGAAGACUAUAUCUUAUUGGAAUUUGCUUUAUGUCCAAUGAGUUGG